UACAGAGGGUGCGAGCGUUAAUCGGAAUUACUGGGCGUAAAGCGCGCGUAGGCGGCUUUGCAAGUCGGGUGUGAAAUCCCCAGGCUUAACCUGGGAACUGCAUUCGAGACUGCAUUGCUAGAGUAUGGGAGAGGGAAGUGGAAUUUCCGGUGUAGCGGUGAAAUGCGUAGAUAUCGGAAGGAACACCAGUGGCGAAAGCGGCUUCCUGGUCCAGCACCGACGUUCAGGCACGAAAGCGUGGGGGAGCAAACAGG
rnacentral:rRNA from 1 species